GACGAACCGUGCGAACGUUGUUCGGAAUCACUGGGCUUAAAGGGCGCGUAGGCGGCCAUGCGUGUCUUCCGUGAAAUCCCUCGGCUUAACUGAGGACGUGCGGAAGAAACUGCAAGGCUCGAGUCCGGGAGAGGGGGGUGGAAUUCCCAGUGUAGCGGUGAAAUGCGUAGAUAUUGGGAGGAAUACCGAUGGCGAAGGCAGCCCCCUGGGCCAAUACUGACGCUCAUGCACGAAAGCGUGGGGAGCAAACAGG
rnacentral:rRNA from 1 species